rnacentral:rRNA from 1 species
ACGGAGGGUGCGAGCGUUAUUCGGAAUUACUGGGCGUAAAGCGCGUGCAGGCGGGAAGGCAAGUCUGAUGUGAAAGCCCCGGGCUUAACCUGGGAAGUGCAUUGGAAACUGCCUUUCUUGAGUACUGGAGAGGAAGGGGGAAUUCCCGGUGUAGAGGUGAGAGUCGUAGAGAUCGGUAGGAAUAUCAGUGGCGAAGGCGCCCAUCUGGAGGGAUACGGACGCUGAGCCGCGAAAGCGGUGGGAGCAAACAG